rnacentral:rRNA from 1 species
CCUACGGGAGGCUGCAGUAGGGAAUAUUGCUCAAUGGGGGAAACCCUGAAGCAGCGACGCCGCGUGGAGGAUGAAGGUUUUCGGAUUGUAAACUCCUUUUGUUAGAGAAGAUAAUGACGGUAUCUAACGAAUAAGCACCGACUAACACCGUGCCAGCAGCCGCGGUAAUACGGAGGGUGCAAGGGUUACUCGGAAUCACUGGGCGUAAAGAGAGCGUAGGCGGGAUAGCAAGUCAGAUGUGAAAUCCUAUGGCUUAACCAUAGAACUGCAUUUGAAACUGUUAUUCUAGAGUAUGGGAGAGGUAGGUGGAAUUCUUGGUGUAGGGGUAAAAUCCGUAGAGAUCAAGAGGAAUACUCAUUGCGAAGGCGACCUGCUAGAACAUAACUGACGCUGAGGCGCGAAAGCGUGGGGAGCAAACAGGAUUAGAUACCCCUGUAGUC